AUACGGAGGGGACUAGCGUUGUUCAGAAUUACUGGGCGUAAAGAGUUCGUAGGCGGAUAAGCAAGUAAGAGGUGAAAGCCCAGGGCUCAACCCUGGAACUGCCUUUUAAACUGCUUAUCUAGAGACCGGUAGAGGUUAGGGGAAUACCUAGUGUAGAGGUGAAAUGCGUAGAUAUUAGGUGGAACACCAGUGGCGAAGGCGCCUAACUGGACCGGUACUGACGCUGAGGAACGAAAGCGUGGGGAGCAAACAGGAGUAGAUACCCUAGUAGUCC
rnacentral:rRNA from 1 species